rnacentral:rRNA from 1 species
UGGGGAAUAUUGGACAAUGGGCGAAAGCCUGAUCCAGCCAUGCCGCGUGUGUGAAGAAGGCCUUUUGGUUGUAAAGCACUUUAAGCGAGGAGGAGGCUACUAGUACUAAUACUACUGGAUAGUGGACGUUACUCGCAGGAUAAGCACCGGCUAACUCUGUGCCAGCAGCCGCGGUAAUACAGAGGGUGCGAGCGUUAAUCGGAUUUACUGGGCGUAAAGCGUGCGUAGGCGGCUGAUUAAGUCGGAUGUGAAAUCCCUGAGCUUAACUUAGGAAUUGCAUUCGAUACUGGUCAGCUAGAGUAUGGGAGAGGAUGGUAGAAUUCCAGGUGUAGCGGUGAAAUGCGUAGAGAUCUGGAGGAAUACCGAUGGCGAAGGCAGCCAUCUGGCCUAAUACUGACGCUGAGGUACGAAAGCAUGGGGAGCAAACAGG